rnacentral:rRNA from 1 species
AGCAGCCGCGGUAAUUCCAGCUCCAAUAGCGUAUAUUAAAGUUGUUGCAGUUAAAAAGCUCGUAGUUGAACUUCAGGCCUGUCCAGAUGGUCCGCCUUAAUUGGUGUGUACUGUCCUUGGGUGGGUCCUACCUUCUGGCGAAGCGGCAUGGCCUUAAUUGGUUGUGUCGGGGAACCAGGACUUUUACUGUGAAAAAAUUAGAGUGUUCAAAGCAGGCAUAUAUGCUCGAAUACAUUAGCAUGGAAUAAUGGAAUAGGACGAUGGUUCUAUUUUGUUGGUUCUAGGACCGUUGUAAUGAUUAAUAGGGAUAGUUGGGGGCAUUAGUAUUCAAUUGUCAGAGGUGAAAUUCUUGGAUUUAUUGAAGACUAACUACUGCGAAAGCAUUUGCCAAGGAUGUUUUCAUUAAUCAAGAACGAAAGUUAGGGGAUCGAAGACGAUCAGAUACCGUCGUAGUCUUAACCAUAAACUAUGCCGACUAGGAAUCGGGCGAUGUUGACAAAAUGACUCGCUCGGCACCUCAUG